ensembl:lncRNA
GGGUUAGCGCCUUUACACCCUUGGCUGUGGCCUUCCUGUCCAUGGGAACGGAUCCAUGUGGAUUUUGCGGGUCCAUUUGAAAGUCACAUGUACCUGGUGGUGGUAGAUGCACAUUCCAAGUGGCCUGAAGUGCAUAUUAUGGAUAGCACCACAGCUGGUAAAACCAUACAAGUGCUACGGGGUCUCUUUAGUCGCCAUGGCAUUCCCCACGUCCUGUCAAAAUGAGUGCAAGUGGAGACGGACCACAAAAUAACCAAAACGGCCAACAGGUUAACCCACGAAUGUUGGCAAAUGGAGAUCAGGAACCUGCUAAUGGCUUCCUGAACGAUCUGUAUCUCGCUCUCCGUGAAUAUUGUUGCUAUCUACAUGAGCUAAUAGCUUCAGUACUGGCACAAUAUGACAAUUACCUUUACGGGGACGACGACGACGACGACGACGACGACGACGACGACGACGACAACGACGAUGACGACAACGACGAUGACGAUGACGACGACGACGAUG